ACAAGCAGGCAAUAGCUAAAUCCCAGCCAUCACUCAAUGUGUGCCAGGCACCUGCACACAGUAUCACUAACACCCAUGACAGUCCUUCAAGGGAGGUUCUGCUGUCUGAGAGAUUAGGUGACAUGCCUAAGGUCACAGGAUCAGCAAACACUAGGGCUGAGAGUUAAACCCAGACUGUCCACUGCCGGAGCUUGUGAUCUCUUCCUUGUGUCAUGCUGCUUCCCGUUUCCGGCUUGGUCUCCACUUCCCAGUCCUUGAGUGAGUUCUCCAGGUCUGCCCCAUCAGCCCUGCAUCUCAGAACAAAGCUGCAGCUGGGUCACUAAUCUCCCGGUGCCUACAAGAUCAGGUGUUGACUCCACCAGAAAGCUUUCCUUCAGCCUCCAGUUCAUCUAGCUAGAAGUACAGCAAGGAGAAACCAGUCCAAUCUGCCUAAAGUGAACAGAGAAGGAAGAAG